GAUGAACGCUAGCGGCAGGCCUAAUACAUGCAAGUCGAACGGUGUAGCAAUACACAGUGGCGCACGGGUGCGUAACACGUAUGCAACCUACCUUACAUUGGGGGAUAGCCUUUCGAAAGGGAGAUUAAUACCGCAUAAGACAGUAACUAGGCAUCUAGUAGCUGUUAAAGAUUUAUCGAUGUAAGCUGGGCAUGCGUCCAAUUAGUUAGUUGGCAGGGUAAUGGCUCACCAAGACGAUGAUUGGUAGGGGAACUGAGAGGUCAAUCCCCCACACGGGCACUGGGAUACGGGCCAGACUCCUACGGGAGGCAGCAGUAGGGAAUAUUGGGCAAUGGGCGCAAGCCUGACCCAGCCAUGCCGCGUGCAGGAAGAAGGCGUUAUGCGUUGUAAACUGCUUUUAUACAGGAAGAAACGACCCUUGCGAGGGGCAUUGACGGUACUGUAUGAAUAAGCACCGGCUAACUCCGUGCCAGCAGCCGCCGUAAAAC
rnacentral:rRNA from 1 species